rnacentral:rRNA from 1 species
GACGAACGCUGGCGGCGUGCUUAACACAUGCAAGUCGAACGGAAAGGCCCUGCUUUUGUGGGGUGCUCGAGUGGCGAACGGGUGAGUAACACGUGAGUAACCUGCCCUUGACUUUGGGAUAACUUCAGGAAACUGGGGCUAAUACCGGAUAGGAGCUCCUGCUGCAUGGUGGGGGUUGGAAAGUUUCGGCGGUUGGGGAUGGACUCGCGGCUUAUCAGCUUGUUGGUGGGGUAGUGGCUUACCAAGGCUUUGACGGGUAGCCGGCCUGAGAGGGUGACCGGCCACGUUGGGACUGAGAUACGGCCGAGGCUGCGGCGGGGGGCAGCAGUGGGGAAGAGUGCACAAUGGACGGGAGCGUGAUGCAGCAGCGCCGCGGGCGGGAAGACGGCCUACGGGUUGUAAAACGCGUUCGCCGGUGACGAAGCGUGAGUGACGGUAAUGGGUAAAGAAGCACCGGCUAACUACGUG